rnacentral:lncRNA from 1 species
ACCUCUUUAGGAUUUAAAUUUCUCUUCUCUUUCUUCUUCGUUUGGAUGGUUCGAGUUUAUCUUAGCUUCAAACUCUCUUUCCCAAACCGACCGUCUAUCUCCCCAAAAUCUUUGCUUUUUCUUAAAAUCGCUUCUACUUUACCCCUCAUCAAAUCUCCUAGGUUGUUUGCAAGUCUCUCCUAUCCAAAAUGGCUCCCAAAUCAAAGCUACCAC